UACGUAGGGUCCGAGCGUUGUCCGGAGUUACUGGGCGUAAAGCGCGCGCAGGCGGCGGUGUUGGCCCGGCGUGAAAGCCCCCGGCUCAACCGGGGAGAGUCGUCGGGGACCGCACCGCUUGAGGGCGGUAGGGGCUGGUGGAAUGCCUGGUGUAGUGGUGAAAUGCGUAGAUAUCGGGAGGAACAUCAGUGGCGAAGGCGGCUGCCUGGCCCAAUACUGACACUCAGGUGCGACAGCGUGGGGAGCAAACAGG
rnacentral:rRNA from 1 species